rnacentral:rRNA from 1 species
UGAGGAAUAUUGGUCAAUGGGCGGGAGCCUGACCGAGCAACGCCGCGUGAGUGAAGAAGGUUUUCGGAUCGUAAAACUCUGUUGUUAGAGAAGAACAAGGAUGAGAGUAACUGUUCAUCCCUUGACGGUAUCUAACCAGAAAGCCACGGCUAACUACGUGCCAGCAGCCGCGGUAAUACGUAGGUGGCAAGCGUUGUCCGGAUUUAUUGGGCGUAAAGCGAGCGCAGGCGGUUUCUUAAGUCUGAUGUGAAAGCCCCCGGCUCAACCGGGGAGGGUCAUUGGAAACUGGGAGACUUGAGUGCAGAAGAGGAGAGUGGAAUUCCAUGUGUAGCGGUGAAAUGCGUAGAUAUAUGGAGGAACACCAGUGGCGAAGGCGGCUCUCUGGUCUGUAACUGACGCUGAGGCUCGAAAGCGUGGGGAGCAAACAGG